CGAAAGACUAUGAAAUUCAUGUAGAAAUUUCAUUCCUUUUUCCAGCUAAAAGCGUCCAAAGUUUUAAAGAAAAUACCUGGUACGAAAGAGAUGAAGUCGAGCACAUCAGACGCCAGGAUAAGCAAAGGACAUUAUAUGGCAGAAUCUGAUCCAAAGUACAAGGAGUUAUGAUUAGAAAACUGAAAAGACGGGUACAAGCCAUUACUGGUCUACGGUCAGAGUCUUAUGCAACACUCCAGAUCGCCAAUUAUGGAAUAGGCGGAUAUUAUUACUCUCAUUACGACUAGACUCCAAAACACGAUAAUCCACUCAUCAAUGAUAGAAUUGCUACGUUCUUAUUUUAUCUAAAUGAAGUUGUAGCAGGUGGCGCCACCGUCUUCCCACGUAUUAGCGUUCGAAUACCGCCGGAAAAGGGAGAUGCCAUAUUAUGGUACAACUUUCACCGAAACGGUUAUGGCAAUAUGAAAACGUUUCACGCUGC